GCUUCCAUAGCUCAGUUGGUUAGAGCUUCGUACUAAUACUACAACUUGCUAGCAUUGGUAAUGCGAAGGUCGCAGGUUCAAGCCCUGCUGGGAGCA